AUGGAGACACAGACAAGCUCGCCAGCGGCCGCCGCCGCGCCGCUUCCCCCGGACGAUCUCCUUCGGGAGAUAUUCCUGCGCCUCCCGCCGGAGCCGAUCCACCUCUUCCGCGCCUCCUUCGUCUGCAAGCACUGGCGCGGCCUCGUCCAUGACGCCCGCUUCCUCCGCCGCUUCCAUGAUUUCCACGGCGGCACACCUCCCGUGCUCGGCUUCUUCAACCAGAAAGGGCCUCCCUUCUUCGUCCCCGCCUCUGGCAGCUUCGCGCUCUCCACCGCCACGAUGUCCCCAGAUGACUGGUGGGCCCUCGACUGCCGCCACGGCCGCGCCCUCAUUGAGAGUUGCCGCACUAGGAUGCUACUUGUCUGGGACCUCGUGACCGGCGACAAGCAGUACCUACCGCUCCCCGCGCAGGACUAUGCUCAGUACAAUGGCGUGGUUCUGUGCGCGGCCGGCCACGCCGACCACCGCGACUGCCAUUUGUGCCCGUUUCUCGUGGUGUUCGUGUUCAGUGACGACAGGGAUUUCAUCACCUCCGCAUGCGUCUUCUCGUCCGUGACCGGUGCCUAG
rnacentral:rRNA from 1 species